rnacentral:tRNA from 1 species
AUCGUGCUGGUGCAGUGGUUAGCAUCUCCCCUUCCCAAGGCGAGGACACGAGUUCGAAUCUCGUGCACGAUA